AAACACCUUCAGUGGGGUGUCAAGAUGCUGUUGGAGGCAGAAGCUCACCUGUUAUGACAGGAACAACCCACCCUCUUUUGUACAGCUGUGCACCCAGCUCUGUACAGCAGGUGUCAAAUGUGCAUUAAAUGCCGUUCCUCUGGGAAAAAUUUGGCCAGUAAAACAAGAGGAGUAUCAGCUCUUACGGAGAGAGACAGAGCUGAUGAGACCUGGCUGUUAAAAGCCUGCUGGAAACACAAGGUAUCCUCCACUGAACUCAAAUGUCCAUUCAGCUGAAUCAGCUUCCAAGGGAUGCUUCCCAUCUUCUGCAGGAUGCUGCCCUUGCUGGAUGAAGCCAGCAGCUGGUGGGAGUUCAGGAUGCUGCCACUCUCUCAGGUUCGGAGCCGGCACUGGCAUCCCUGCCUGCACAGCUUCCAGACCCGCCUGUCGCGGCUGAUCUCAGCUGCAGCCGCUGUGAGUGAUGGCCCCGGCUUCUCGGAUGCAUUUACAUUCCCUUUGCAUGCUGCUGUUGCCUCCCCUUCUUUAUGGCUGUGAUUUACUGAUGUCACAGAUGCAGCAUCGCCAAAUUAGAUUUACGGGACGCUGAAUUUAUGAUUAGAGAAAUGAACCCUUCGCCACUUCAUGCUGCCCCCCGCCUCCUUCUGUACACACGUGCCUGCCUGUGCGUGCACCUCGCUCUGCUCCGCAGUACGGUGACAGAGGGGGAAGAGAGGUCCUGCAUGACCCUAGUUCAUGCAGGAUAUCUGCUCUCCUGGCUACAGACAGAAAGGAGGCAGCAGGGAAAGGUCUCAACAGGGGCCUGGACAUCCAAAGUCCCUGGGCUCUGCCCACAGAUCUGCAAGCUGGCACUAAACUGCUGUUGCAAGCUCCUGGGUUUUGCCUGCAUGUCUGAGAGGAGGAGUGGGUCACAGCCCAUGACACAGGGCUCCUAGCUGCUUCGUUUCAUAUUAACAGUCCUCUUAAUGACGGGUUCCUACUUUUGGGUGAUUUCCAAAGUGUUCCCAGCAAGCAUUCCUCAGCCUCGCCAUCUCCAGUCCCUCCCCUGCGAUUUUUGCCCUCUCUCCAGCUGAACUUCUGAAUAAACUGAACAAUCAGUGAGCCAAAUGAAGAAAGAAUGGGAUCAGAAAUGAGAUAGCUUACAGGCUGUAAGUCAAACCCAUACCAGGACGCAGCUCGGUGCAGUUUGAAGCAUGGCUUAGUUUGUGCCUGGGUGUGCUGGAGUAACGCCAUCCUCGGGAGCUAAUUUAGGACGUCCUCUGCUCUGCCCGGGGAGGAAAUGGCUUCUGUACAGACGGUACUUGUCUGCGACAGAUCGCUGGUAAACAGCGUGAUAGCUGGAUGUCAGACACGCUGAAGACAUCUUUAUCAGGGAGCUGAGAGCAGAACAGUUUUAGCGGGCAUCAGUUUUCCUCUGGCGAUGUGCUCGUUUCUUCCCAGCCUCUGAAAACAGACGCCCCUGUGCCUGCCAAUGGUCUGUCCAUUCAUUCCUCCAUCUACCCAUUUCCAUCUCUCCCCACAUACCAAAGUACCCUCUGGCUACACUGGAACUGCAGAAAUUAUGCUGGAGGGGGAGAAAUUGCAGAAGCAGAAGGAGCCUUUACAGCAAACAGUCCAUUUAUUGAUAUUUUAUUAUGCUGUUUAGCAGGACCCUGGUGCCUGUAAUAAAGCAUUAAGGAAGUGUGGCAGCACA